UUAGGCUUGAUGUUAUGGUUCUUGAUGUAUGGUUCUUGAUGUUAAUUACAUACUAUAUGACGUUGUCCAGGUAAGCUUUUAAAGCUGUACUUGUACAUUAAGCCCAAAGAAACAAUUGGUAUACAUUUUAAUUAAUAAUUUCUAUGGUAUUAGAGUUUUUGUUACUUUUUCUUUCUCUUUUGGUCUAUUGUUUAACUUGAUGUUGCUAAUUAAUGCUAACAUAGAGAGGAGUGGUACAGCAUGUAGCAUCAACUACUUGAGAGGGUCCCGUCCUAGCCGUUGGAUCAAGAAUCAGGAGAAUAGUACCUUUUGAGAGUAAUUUAUUUUGUUUAUAUAUGCUGCUUUUAUAUAUGUAUAUAGGACUAUCUUAGGUUUAUAUAUUCUCAAGCUAUAUUUGUUUCUUUUUAUAUAUGACCAUGGGGAGAUCUAGAAGUGUCAGAUGCGUACGUAGGAAGAAGAGCCUGUUUUAUUAAGGAGACCACGUAAACUUUUCACAGGCAAAGAAUGUCCAGGCCAUGGAUUCUAGCAUCUCUCUAGUAGGAACAUGAAUCCUUGUUUGGUCAAAAACCGAAAGUAAAGAUAACUAAAAGCAGGCAGAGAGAAAGAAGACUUACACGCACACACUAUGAAGUUCGUUUGAUCAGCCUUAAAAUCCUACAUCGACACUCUUAAAUCAGUAAGAACCUUUGUCACCAUGAAUCAUCAAACACAUGAUUAAUAAUUUUCUUUCUUUAGCUUUUUCAUUGUCUUUUCGCUUCUUUAUCACUUUC